AGUGAACGCUGGUGGUAGGCCUAGCACAUGCAAGUCGAACGGCAGCACAGUAAGAGCUUGCUCUUACGGGUGGCGAGUGGCGGACGGGUGAGGAAUACAUCGGAAUCUACUUUUUCGUGGGGGAUAACGUAGGGAAACUUACGCUAAUACCGCAUACGACCUACGGGUGAAAGCAGGGGAUCUUCGGACCUUGCGCGAUUGAAUGAGCCGCUGUCGGAUUAGCUAGUUGGCGGGGUAAAGGCCCACCAAGGCGGCGAUCCGUAGCUGGUCUGAGAGGAUGAUCAGCCACACUGGAACUUAGACACGGACCAGGCUACUACGGGAGGCAGCAGUGGGGAAUAUUGGACAAUGGGCGCAAGCCUGAUCCAGCCAUACCGCGUGGGUGAAGAAGGCCUUCGGGUUGUAAAGCCCUUUUGUUGGGAAAGAAAAGCAGCAGGUUAAUACCCCGCUGUUCUGACGGUACCCAAAGAAUAAGCACCGGCUAACUUCGUG
rnacentral:rRNA from 1 species